CCAGAAUCAAUAUAACGUGUCCUUAUAUUUCAGCCAUUUCAGCACAAAAAACAUUCCACUAAGUAUUUUAGACUAUAUAGGUGCAAUUUAAUGCUUUCCAGGUAUAGCCCGAAUCCUGGGAGAUUAACAUUCUCCAGAUAUAAGUGCACAACUGCUAUCAGGUCCCUUUAUAUUUAUUCUUUUUUUGAAAGGAUAUCGUUUUUUAGAAACACAAAUAAAUUAUUCCGCAAGGCAAGCACUUGUUAUCCACCAGACGCUAUUUUAAGACUUCAAAAAUAUAUGACUAAUAAAAUAUGUUUCCCUCAAGUUGCUCAGGGUCUCAUAUCAAUGAUAAACUUAGUCCAAAUUUAAAAGACAAUGCAAAUUUGAUAUUUAUGGGAUAAAUAUUACAAACCCAUGCUGUUGAAAUUAGUCCUCCAAAAAGCUGUAGUCUUUUUACUUGUUGAAAGGUCUGGGGAAAUCAUCUUGUAGUAUGGUGAGAAAAGGAUUUGGGUCAGGAAACA
rnacentral:lncRNA from 1 species